GAAAAGAAAGCAAAAGCGAUUCCCCAAGUAACGGCGAGUGAACAGGGAUAAGCCUAGCGCUAAGGCUUAAUGUGGUUGUCGCAAGACAAUCAAUUAUUUCAACAUUAAGCGGUGCAGCGUUACAAACUUUGGUGUUUAGUGGUGUCAAUGUAGUGUUGAGUUGGGCAACUAACUGAAUGCUGCUUUCGGCCUAGCGUGCAAGUCCCAUUGACUUGGGCUUAUUCUUAAUUGAGAUGUCUACGGGUUUGGGGCAACUUGGAUCCGUGGAUGAGCCAUAGAGGGUGAAAGUCCCUUAACGCGCAGGUAUUGAUGCCACGAACCAGAGCAGUGGCGUCUGGUAAAACAGGCGUUGCGAUUGUUAGAGUCGGGUUGCUUGAGAGUGCAACCUAAAGAGCGAGGUAAACUGCUCGUAAGGCUAUGUAAAUACGGCUACGACACCGAUAGCAAACAAGUACCGUGAGGGAAAGUUGCAAAGUACUUUGAAGAGAGAGUUAAACAGGGCGUGAAACCGCUAGCUGGUAAACGAGUGGAGCCACGAAGUCGUUUCGUAGAAUACGGGGCGCAAAUUCAGCUGGGGUCUAUCAAAGGCCUUUGCGUAUUUUUGCUUGUCUCGCUACUGUAAGCGUACACUGCAACCAAUUAGACGGCCAAUCGUGGAAAUAGUCUGCAAGUUGACAGGGAAACUUGUUGCUUGUGGGCGCCAAAUUUGUGUAUUUACUGUAGGUAGCCUGGUUGGAGUCUUGUAUUUCAUCUGGGUGUAUGACAUUCGUAAAUGCGUGAACUACGAUUGGGUACUGAUUGGCACAAUGAAAAUCGAAUCGCAAGAUUCGUGCAUUCAUAGAAAGCGGCUGGCAUCGUAAUUGGGUACAAUUGCGCGCCGUCAGUAUAAGCUUAGUAUUUUUGAAUUCAGGCACGUAUAUUAUCAGUGGGCUUGCUCGUUGAUAUAUGCGCUGUUUCCUGUCUAAUCGGGUAUUAACUUUGCUGGUGGUUUUGUGUAAUUGCUGCGAUAGCAUCGGAUGCGAUAGCUAGUUAGCGAGUAUGGCAG
rnacentral:rRNA from 1 species